rnacentral:rRNA from 1 species
UACGUAGGGUGCAGGCGUUAAUCGGAAUUACUGGGCGUAAAGCGUGCGCAGGCGGUUUCUUAAGUCAGAUGUGAAAGCCCCGGGCUUAACCUGGGAACUGCGUUUGAAACUGGGAGACUUGAGUGUGGCAGAGGGGGGUGGAAUUCCACGUGUAGCAGUGAAAUGCGUAGAGAUGCGGCGGAACACCGAUGGCGAAGGCAGCCCCCUGGGCUGAGAUUGACGCUCAGGCACGAAAGCGUGGGGAGCAAACAGG